GAGUCCCGCAGGCUGGGCGCCCCCUUGGCGGGUUUUCCUGGCUGCGCGGAUUGAGCUGUGCGGGCCGGCGUGGAUGGUAGUCCGUGGAUCGGGGCCUGCCCUGCCGCUUCUGUCCGGGACCUCAGCCGCUAUAACCCGAACUUUCCCCACAGGAGGGCGCUGAGCGCGCCGGGCAUCUCCUGGCCAUGCUGGCGACGUGAAGGUCGGAUAUUUAGUGGAGCGAUCCCAUGGCCUCCGGGGCCGGCUGAACGCAGGAGCUGCCGUGGAGCUGCCGUCGCCGGGAGGGAGCGAAUUCGAUGCUCUGGAAGGGCCGGUACCCAGAAGGAGGCGCUUCACGGCCCGGAUUCUCGGAGCAUGGUCCCCGGAGAGCCGCGCGCAGCAGAAGGCGCCCGAUCUGUCGAGACGGAGCGCACGUACAUCAAAAUCCAAGUGGAACUUGAGGCAUCUUAUUGGUAAACUGCUGUGAAGUCACUCAGAAAUAGCCAUUCAGACUGCAGUUGACAAUUUCAGAUCUUGGAUACUUGCCAUAAUGCAGAUAAAUGAAAUUAAGGCCUAGCAGCUUUACCAUAAUACUAGAAGAAGGUACAGCUUUCCCACUCAAAGAAAAGGAAAAGUGUCAUUAUCCAAAACAUCUGAACUUAUUGCUGGAAGCUGAUGACUUCUGUAUGGAUUUGCAAGAUGUGGAAGCAGAUGUCAGCAAUGUAUUCAUUUUUGUGUGGCUGGGAUUGAAAACAAACAAAACUUUUUUUUAAUCAUUUCUGAAUGGCAGAUAAAAGACACCUGAUUGUGGCCCUACAUGAAAGCUGAAAGAGGAAAAAUUAAAUUGACCAUAUUUACUGGGUGUUUCUGAAAAUAUGUUGCUUUCCUUGCAUAGUCCUUGGCAGAUUCCAAGAAAGACCAAAACAAUUUAAAAAGGGUAGGAGUGUUGUUCUUCAGAAAGUGGCUUUAUCUGUCUUCUUCUUCUUGUGCC